rnacentral:rRNA from 1 species
ACCUUUUGUAUAAUGGGUCAGCGACUUAUAUUCUGUAGCAAGGUUAACCGAAUAGGGGAGCCGAAGGGAAACCGAGUCUUAACUGGGCGUUAAGUUGCAGGGUAUAGACCCGAAACCCGGUGAUCUAGCCAUGGGCAGGUUGAAGGUUGGGUAACACUAACUGGAGGACCGAACCGACUAAUGUUGAAAAAUUAGCGGAUGACUUGUGGCUGGGGGUGAAAGGCCAAUCAAACCGGGAGAUAGCUGGUUCUCCCCGAAAGCUAUUUAGGUAGCGCCUCGUGAAUUCAUCUCCGGGGGUAGAGCACUGUUUCGGCAAGGGGGUCAUCCCGACUUACCAACCCGAUGCAAACUGCGAAUACCGGAGAAUGUUAUCACGGGAGACACACGGCGGGUGCUAACGUCCGUCGUGAAGAGGGAAACAACCCAGACCGCCAGCUAAGGUCCCAAAGUCAUGGUUAAGUGGGAAACGAUGUGGGAAGGCCCAGACAGCCAGGAUGUUGGCUUAGAAGCAGCCAUCAUUUAAAGAAAGCGUAAUAGCUCACUGGUCGAGUCGGCCUGCGCGGAAGAUGUAACGGGG